CAACAAGAGCAAAACUCCAUUUCAAAAAAAGAACAUCUGAUUCUGCUUUAGACAACAUACCUGGCACACUGAACAAAUAAAUAUAUGAAUAUAUCUCCGCACAGGUAGGUGAAUGAAAAAAGGGCAUGACCUUGAGUCUUAAUUUCACCGUUUAUUACUUUGAUCAUUUUGGACAAAUCACGUAACACUUUUGAGUCCAUUUACUAAGCUCUGAAAUGUAGAUAGAAAUAAUUCUUUGCACAAUUAUUGUGAAGCUCAAAGGAUAAUAUGUAUGAAUACAGUUUGAAAAAUACCAUUCAUGUGUUGUCACUAGAAUGCUCUAAAACUUCUGCUCUAGGGUGGAUGAGAGCAAUAUGAGACUUUGAUUCUGUGCCUAACAGCAUUAAAUUUUUUUUAUCGUGGUAAAAUAUUCAUAACAUAAAAUUUACUAUCUUAACCAUUUUGGGAUGUAUCCUGCACAUUCUUGAGCCUAAAUGUUUUCAGACAAAGUGAAGGCUUAGAUUGUCUGAUGAGAACGAGGAUUUCUUGUUUCUCUUUGGGUUUCCCUUUUCUGAGCUUCACUCAGAGCCCCUUGACCAUCUCUUUUUCUCUCAUGUGCAGAGAUGAGAAAGGGAAAGGAAGAGGUAUUCUGGGCUCUCAUGCCUCCUAGUGUUUGCGUUCUUAUUUAGGGUGGUGUGAGAGUUUCAGACACAGACCCUGCCUUGUUCAGCCAGGAGUCAUACAGGAAAUCCUGCCAGACUUGCUAUCCUCUCUCUUUGGCAUCCUUGACCUGUUGGCCAGGAAGUCAAAAGGCCAGGAAACCAAUACCUAAGGCGAGGGUAGCCAAGGCCUCCAUUUCCUGCCCCCAGCCCCACCCCUGCAGAUUGUGAUGUCAAAGAACAGCCCUCCUCGCCAAAUCUUCCCUCCUUGCCCCCAUUUUUGGCACACUCUGCUUGCCUGACUUCCUCCUUCUGCCUGCCCCUUAAGAGAGGAUGUUCUCAAAGUUGCUGCCCUUUUCUUUGUGAUUUUUCCUAGGUCUCUGGCCCUGGGCCUGGCACACAGUUGAUGCUUAAUGGAUGUUUAUGGAAUGAGUCAAGGACAGCUACUCAAAGAAUAGCUUGGCUCAUACCUGUAAUCCCAGCACUUUGGGAGGCCGAG